CAACAUCUUUCUAAUCCUUCACAUUUUAAAUACUGAGAGGUUUCAGGACUGAAUCUCUCUUUCUGGAAUGUCAGGCAUAGCAACACCAGGAUGACUUGGAAAGGGCCAUUCUGGUAGCCUUAAAAAUGCAUAAAAGCAACAGAGGCUGGCCUGGGCCUCCCCUGGGGCAGCUCCACAGAGCUGGAAGGCUUUGGCAGGGUUCUGAUGAGUGGGCUGGUCCUUGUUUCUGAUGUUGGCUCUGGAAUUGCUCCGGCAUAAUUCACAGCCAAUUAAUCUUGUCAGGCAGACUGUUGAUGCCAGCUAUAGCUCAGACACCAUCAUCACAAAUAACCAUCCCUAUGAGCCAUUGUCUCAUCGGUGCAGCCAUUCACUUCAAAAUAUAAAUUUAGACUCAGAAAGCAUAAAUGGACUUGGCCAAGGAGUGCCUUGGGAAGUCUAGAACGGCUUGAUAGAUCCAUCAAUCAAUCAAUGGUAAAGCAACCAUGGAUGAAAUAAAGAGCAAUGAGCUGAGCAACAUUCCCUCUGCCACACUCUUUUAUCAUCAUGUUCUGCCUCACCUCAGGCCCAAAGAGAUGGAGCGAGCCAGCCAUGGGCUGUAACCUCUGAAAACAUGAACCAAAAAACCUUUUUCUCCUUUAAGUUGUUUGUGUCAAGUAUUUUGAUCAUAGCAACAAAAAGUUGACUAAUACAGAAACAGAGUGCUUGGAAAACACCAUGUGAAGGUGGAGAGAGAAAAGAGCCAUCUAUAAGCCAAAGAGAGACAUCUAAGAAGAAACCAAACCUGCUGACACUUUGAUCUUAGACUCCUAGCUUCUGGAAUUGUGAGAAUUGGUGUCUGUUGUUAAAGCCACCAGUUUUGUGGCCCUUUAUAUUGGCAGCCUGAGCAGAAUAAUGCACACUUUUAUUAAUUUGCUACACAUUGCCUUCAGUUACUCUCUGAGAGAAAGUUCAGCCAAGAUAAAAGAUUUCCCUCUCUCACUUUUUGAGUCUUCUCAAGCAGGAUAAUUGGAGAAGAGGGUCCUAUUUGAAAUAAAUUGUCCUAUGGAAGGAGGGCAGGCCAGAGGAAUGGAUAGUCCUGAGGGGAGCAGAGAGGCUAGAGUACAGAGAAAGGAGUAGGCAGGCUCCUAGGGGAGAAAGGGUAAUAGAAUCUGAGAAACUCCCCUUCCUCUGGUUGCCCAAUAUCAUCUUUUAUUCUCCAGAAAGAAGAUUAAAAAGCUUUUUAAUGGGUAUAACUCUGCUCCAUUUGAAUUAUUAAUGCAGUGUAUAAAUUCUCUCCAACAAAUAUAGUAUUUAGGUAUUUAAAAAUAGCCUGGGGUAUAAAAACUGCUAUUUCAUUUUUCCUAAUUCUACUCAGAACUCAGCCCAUUAAGCUUAAGAGUUUACAGGAUUAAGUCAAAUGACUAAACUUCCUACACAUCUUGGGGAUUAUUUAUGCCAAUGAACUGAAUUUACAAUAAAUUUAUGACACUAUUAAACAACAGACACAUUUCACAUUCUUUGCAUAGGGAAGUUAAUGGCUGUAAACUCCUUGCCCAAAGUAGGCACUCAAUAAAUAAUUUUUAGCCUAAAAUCAAGUGACAUAUUUAUCCAGAAGUUCAAAGAUUUAA